UUUACGAAUGCAGAACCGCUGACUGUUGCACAUGCGUGUGCUAUGCUCUCUUAGCAUUUCAGAGUUUUUAAGAAAGGCAUUAUAUUUGGGACAUUUAUUUUCAGAAUCCUUUGAACUGGAAUUUUUCAAGUAACUGUCAACAGGUUUCCCGAGUUGAAGUCUGUUAUUUGCUGUGUGACUCUGCAGAGGCGUAAUCUGCAAGGUGACCCAUUCUCCUGUGAGUUUGCACUGCUGAUGGAAGUUCAGAAUGAUCCAGCCACAAAGCAGGUCAAGCACAGACUUCAACAUGGCCCUAACCACUCCUGGUCAUACACACUUCUGGCCUUGUUUAUACCAGCGAUUGGAAUUUGGCAACCCCCCAGCACAUAGUUGUAUAUUCUAGCUGUGAGUGCCUCUGGCUGUGCUAUGUGGGACGCCGCCUCAGCAUGGCCUGAUGAGUGGUACCAUGUCCAUGCCCAGGAUCUGAACCAGUGAAACCCGGUCCACCGAAGCGGAGCCCACCAAAACGGAGUGCACAAACUUAACCACUGGACCAUGGGGCCGGCCCCUAGGUGUUAUCUUAAAAGGACGGAAGGUGUAACGUAGCAGGAUAAAUUCAUUCUAGAAAACACAACACAUGUGAAUCAAUGAGCCUUUAUUGAGCAUCGAUUCCGGCCAGCAUUCAAUACAAGAUAAAGUAUGAGCGAAUAUUCCUGUCUUCCUGAAACUUACCGCCUAACUGCUGUUCCAAGGGUAGCACCCAGGCAAUAACCAAAGAACAAGACACAGAAAUUAAUUGUGUCAACUAGUAUGGAAGACUCCAAGAGCUGCAGACCUGAAUGAGCCUAAUCAUAUGAACAGCCAUUGAUUCCAUAAACAGUCACUGGGCAGUUUCUAGAUGUCGGGUACCUUGCUGUUGCCAUGUUGGACCCACAUGCACACAGAAGUUGACUCUUUGCCUUCAGGGAGCUUACAAUUGCUUUAGGGUGACAAGACAGACAGGCACAGGGAAAAGUAAUAAUCCUUGCAGCACUUCUUCAAGACUUCAAGCACCUUCAGAUCUACGGGGCAUUCCUUUCCUUUCUUUCAGUUUAAGUUUCCUUUUAUUUUGAAACUGAAACAGCAAAAUAAAGUGGUUUGGCUGAAACAACCUUCAGGAAAAGAAAGUGGAGCUUUUGUCAGUUAAAAAAAGAACUCCAACCUUUAUGCCAGCUCUCUACCUCCUCAGAAAAAGGAGAGGACAGAUUAGAGAGAGAAAGGGCACAAUCAAAUCAGGGGUGACAAUGGCCAGCAGAUUUACAGCAAAGGUCAACUUUCAAAGUUUCUCCAAUUACAGAAAAAAAAGGUAGCAUUUAAACUGAGAAAUAAUCACAAGCUGACAAACCCCUGACCCACUUGCAUUCGUAAAAAUCUUUGUUCCUUUUCUUGGGGGCAGUGAUGACUUGGGACAAGCAGAUGGUCCCAGCUCUCUUUUGGUUUCUUCCGCUUUUUGGAAGCAGGUUUGGGAUGGAGUGGUGAUGCCUUAUCCUCCCCACUCACAGACUCUGCACGAUCUCAUGGUUUCCACCAUUUGUAUUCUCCCUGACUCCCAAAUGCACAUCUCCACCCUAGUUCUUACUCCCGAGUUUUUGACUUGUGUAUUCAACUGUCUCCUUCUUGACUAUCUCAAAGGCAUCUCAAACUCAUCAGGUCUAAAAGGAAAUUCACCAUUUUCCUCACUAAAGUCCUUCCUCGUACUGUAUUUCUCUCUCAGUAAUUGCCAUCCCUGUCCACUCAACUGUUCCAGUCAGAAUCCUGGGAGGUAUCCUUGACUCUGGUCACUCUGGCUUCCAAUAUAACUUAUCCAAUCCUGUAGAUCAGCCUUCUCAGAAUUACCUGUGCCUUCCCUUCUUCCCCACUGAGCCUGUCUCAGUUCACUUCAUAUAUGGUUCACUAAAAUAGCUUCCUGAGGGGCUGGCCCCGUGGCCGAGUGGUUAAGUUCAUGCGCUCUGCUUCGGCGGCCCAGGGUUUCGCCAGUUCGGAUCCUGGGCGCAGACAUGGCACCGCUCAUCAGACCAUGCUGAGGCAGCAUCCCACAUGCCACAACUAGAGGGACCCACAACUAAAAAUACACGGCUGUGUACUGGAGGGCUUUGGGAGAAAAAGGAAAAAUGAAAUCUUUAAAAAAAAAAAAA
ensembl:lncRNA